UACGAAGGGGGCGAGCGUUGUUCGGAUUUACUGGGCGUAAAGGGCGCGCAGGCGGCCGCAUUUGUCAGGCGUGAAAGCCCCGGGCUUAACCUGGGAACUGCGUUUGAUACGGUGUGGCUAGAGUUCGGGAGAGGAGAGUGGAAUUCCCAGUGUAGAGGUGAAAUUCGUAGAUAUUGGGAAGAACACCGGUGGCGAAGGCGGUUCUCUGGGACGGUACUGACGCUGAGACGCGAAAGCGUGGGGAGCGAACAGG
rnacentral:rRNA from 1 species